GCGUGCUUAACACAUGCAAGUCGAGCGAAGCACUUUUGCGGAUUUCUUCGGAUUGAAGCAACUGUGACUGAGCGGCGGACGGGUGAGUAACGCGUGGGUAACCUGCCUCAUACAGGGGGAUAACAGUUGGAAACGGCUGCUAAUACCGCAUAAGCGCACAGUACCGCAUGGUACCGUGUGAAAAACUCCGGUGGUAUGAGAUGGACCCGCGUCUGAUUAGCUAGUUGGUGGGGUAACGGCCUACCAAGGCGACGAUCAGUAGCCGACCUGAGAGGGUGACCGGCCACAUUGGGACUGAGACACGGCCCAAACUCCUACGGGAGGCAGCAGUGGGGAAUAUUGCACAAUGGGGGAAACCCUGAUGCAGCGACGCCGCGUGAGCGAUGAAGUAUUUCGGUAUGUAAAGCUCUAUCAGCAGGGAAGAAAAUGACGGUACCUGACUAAGAAGCCCCGGCUAACUACGUGCCAGCAGCCGCGGUAAUACGUAGGGGGCAAGCGUUAUCCGGAUUUACUGGGUGUAAAGGGAGCGUAGACGGCAUGGCAAGCCAGAUGUGAAAGCCCGGGGCUCAACCCCGGGACUGCAUUUGGAACUGUCAGGCUAGAGUGUCGGAGAGGAAAGCGGAAUUCCUAGUGUAGCGGUGAAAUGCGUAGAUAUUAGGAGGAACACCAGUGGCGAAGCGGCUUUCUGGACG
rnacentral:rRNA from 1 species